GCCGCCUAGACCCCGGCCUGCCCCGGAUCUCGCAGCCCCACCGCACUAGUCAGCUCCCCGCUCACCUGUCAAUCCUCCUCCGGGGCUGGCGGUCCUGGGCCGCCUGAGCGCCUAGCUGCGCGUCUCAGGGAGCCCGCGCGUCUCGGGGAGACUAGCUCAGCACCGCCGCGCAGAGGCUUCCAGAAACGUACGAAAAGGAAGGAGCUUCGGUGUCCGAAGCCGAUGGACGCGGGGCGUUGGCGGAUCUCUGGACACGCAGGCGUGUGAACCUGUUUUAUGCAAAUCGACUGUGGCUUCUGAGUCAUUGCAAGCGGCUCUGCUCCUACCCCUCCUGAAUUGGUUGCGGACAUUGAUAUAAAUGGGGCUGUCAAACCUGAGCAUGUUCUCUCUGGCCUUGGAGCUGGCUGCUGCAGAGGUAGAGCCGGCUCUGACGAUCAUGGCCCUUCCCAAAUGAGGUCAUGGACAGUCACCAAGAGCUUUAACAGCCCAUUCCUGAGCCCUGAGCAGGUCUCUUGCUCACUCCCCAGCCCUUCUGAAUACCUCUUUCCAUAUGACUUUGAAGAUCUAAUUUGACCAUCAUAGAGUUUUACUCCUCACUGUAUCACUUUGUCAUAUAGUAAACAGAACAGGGUUUACCCUUCCUCUGUAGACAGAAUACUCAAGGUCAUUCUCUCCAUCCUAGCUAAAAGUGUUCAGGGAAAGCUCAAAGCAUGUGUCAGCGUGGAAACUGGUCGGAGAUUUACUCAUCCAUUUAUGAUGGUCUGAUGGCCACAGUUAGGGAUGAACUGCAUCUGGGUUUCCCAUGUGCUUUUGGACUAGGCCACACUUCAUUAUAAAUUCACUUUUUGGAAUAAACUGCCACCAUUUUAACGUCAGUUGUAGUUUUUACAGCAAUAUUGCUGGGCUAGGAUAGAUCAGGGGCAGAGUGCUUACCUUAGGCAUCAGGCUGUAUUUGGGCUCAAUCACCAGCACCAAAAUAAUGAUAAUUUUAUUGAUAGAGGAAGAUGUUUGCCUGGUUCAACUCCCAACAAUCCCAGCUCUGGGGGAUCAGAUGCUUCUGGCUUCCAUGGGCACUAGCAUGGACAUAGCCCCAACCAUACACAUACAGAGGAUUAAAAACAAAGUAUAGGAUUUGGAGUAAAACAGACCUUGCCUUUAAAGCCCCAAGUUGUUAUUGCAACUCUGUAUUACUCAAACGCUUUCUCAGCAACCUCCACACACACAUACACUAA